GGUUCCGUAGCUUGGAGGAAAAAAGCGGCCGUCUAACGAAUUGGGAAUCGUGGGUUCGAUUCCCACCGGAGCAC
rnacentral:tRNA from 1 species